AUGCUGCGGCCAGGCUGGGAGAGAUCUCAUGCUUUGCUCUCGAUUUCCCAUUUCCUGUUUCCAGGAGCCUCUGCAGUAACGUCUUCAUCACAGGUCCUCUUUUCCUCCAGCAGGAAGGUUAUGCCAUUGUGCUGUCAGGGAGGCUCCACCACUUGGCAGACGGGGCCUGAGAAGUCUGCAUUCCCCGGAGGCUCAGGCUCCCUUGGAAGGAGAUAUGAGUGGAACAGCUCCAUGGCCACGGCAUAUGAAAGAUGUUCAACAUCAUUCUCAUCAGAAAAAUGCAAAUUAAAACAGUGAGAUAACUUUAUUCAUACACCAGGAUAGAAAACACAAAGGACUGACAAUAUCAAACACUGGUAAGAAUUUGGAGCAACUGGAACUCCAACGCAUUGUGGCUGGGAGGGUAAAUGUGUUCAACUAUUUUGUAAAAUAGUUUGGUAGUUUUUUUUUUUUGUUUUUUUUUUUUUUUUUUGCCAAUCAGUUUGAGCUUAUGAGGUUGCUCAGGUUAGCCUUGAACUGAUGACCUCGCCUUCGCGAGCGCCAUGACCUCCGGCGGGAGCCACUUUGGACCCCUAGUUUGGUAGUUUCUAAUAAAGCUAAACACAUACCUACCUUAUGACCUACAAUUCCACUACUCGCAUUUUCCUGAGAGAAAUAAAUGCUUAUGUCCACCAAAUGACAUAUAUAAGAACAUUCAUAGAUUCAUCAUUGCUAAAAAGUAGAAACAAUCCCCUUGUUUAUCAAUAGGUGAAUGAAUAAAUUACAGUUUCUACAUGUCCCAGAAUACUACACAGUAAUAAAAAGCGAACAAACCACCGAUAUACAUGAUAACAUGAAUGAAUCUCACAGCACGUGUUGAGUGAAAGACGACAGACACAAAAAGGUACAAAAUUCAAGAACCAGCAAAACUAAUCUAUGGAAUGUUAACUGAGAAGUGGCAUAAGGGAAGCUUCCGGGGUAAGUGAAAUAUUCUGCUUUUUGACCUAGGUGAUGGGUUCACGGGUGUAUACAUACGUAAAAAUUCACUGAGCUGUCUUUUUAAGAUUUGAGUAUUUUACUAUGCAAAUAACUUAACAUAUAACUUGUAUAAUAAUAAUACAUAACUUACUAUAUGUAAAUAACUUAAACCUGAGGGGUUUUUUUAAAGCAUUUUUCUUUCAAAAAGUAGUUGAGAACCAAACAGAUGACCAAUGUAGGAUGAGGAAUUUUAAAAUAGAGGGGAAAUUGUAAGAUUUAUGUGUUCAACAAGCAUUUUUCUGGUACUUCGUAUGUGCCAAAACAUAUGCUAGGAGGUGGGCAGGCAGAAAUAACUAACAUUGUUGUUUCUUCCUUAAACAGGAGAAAGGAGUUAAGGCUCACCUUAUUAAAGAGCCACCAUGUGUUAUGAGGAUUGAAUCCUUAUCACAAUAUUGUCAAGAAGCCAAGAUUAAACCAUGGUAUUCGUCAGGGUUCUCCAGAGAAACAGAAACAAUAGAGCAUUGUUAGGCUAUGUAUAGAUGUAUAAGAGGAGAUUUAUUCUGAGAAUUGUCUCACACAAUUAUGGAGGCCAGGAAGCCCCAUGAUAUGCCAUCUGCAUGCUGGAGAACCAAGACAGCUGGUGGUGUAAUUCAGUCUGUGUGAAGGCCUGAGAACCAGGCUAGCUGAUGAUGUAACUCCCAGUCUGAGGCAGAAAGCCUGAGAACUGAGUGGGGAGAGGAUGUAAGUCCUGGAGCCUGAAGGCCCAAGAGCAAGGAGCCCCCAAGGCAGGAGAAAGAAUAUGUAUGUCCCAGAUCAAGAGCAGAGACAGAAUUUGCCCUUUCUCUUUUUGUUCUAUUUAGGUUCUCGAUAAACUGGAGGAUGUCCCCCUACAACAGUGAGGCACUCUCACUGAUCUAUCCAAAAAUAAUAUUUUACCAGCUAUCUGGGCAUACCAGUCAAAUUGACACAUAAAGUAAGUCAUCACAACCAUACACCAGGAAGAAGCAGUUAAAAAGCAUGAUCAUUAAGCCCAGCUGCUUUGACUCCAAAAGCAAUGCUCCUUCUGUCACAGCAGCCUCAAGUCAUCAAGAUUCUACCAUUUCAUUAUGGGCAAAGAUCUGCACACACAAGGUCGUGAGAGGGUCACCGGGACAGAAAACAGUACUAGGUGCUUGUGCUGUCACAGAGUCUCUAAGUGCUAGCAUGUUCCCAAAGAGGGAGAUAAAUUUGGACUGGGGGAGCAGGGACGCCUUGCACUCUUUGCCCUGGUUCUGACAGAUUUCCAUGCAGCCCAACACAUGUUGAUUGAAUAGUCACUCUGUGCUGCCUUCUGAGGCUGUUCAAAUAGACUCAUAAGAGCAUGUUUUGUGAUGGUCUCCCGUGCCUAAAGGCAGAUGCUACAAGUUCUUAAGUCUGUCUUUAGGGAAUCUUUGUAUUGUUUAAUGGUCUGUCUGACAGCAGGAAAUUGAGGGUUUUUCUGUUCUUAAUGCCCAAGAUGUGACCAGCCCAAUAAAAGGGUGCUGAUGUCAGAAUGGCAUGGGCCAAAUACCGUCUAGUCCUAAAACUGACAGAUGGGGCUGCUGUGUGAAACAAACAAACAAACAAACAAACACACAAAAACAAACACAUUGAAGCAAAGCGUUGAGUGGUGUUACAGGAGUCUGAAGCGCCUGGGCGUAGCUUCAAUAUCACAUAAAGGUUACUGGCUCAGCCCAGCAUCAGCUCCUAAGACACACAGGUGUCCAAGAAUUUCUCUUGAAACUCUUUUAUUGAUUGAGCAGAGGCAUUCAGUUGGGAUUAAAUGUCGAUCAUUCCAACACAGUAUAAACCAGUAGAUUUUCCACCCGGCAACAGAAGGCUAAACGGCAACUCUAUAUUUAAUCGUAAGUAGUCUUUCCGUACAAAAGAAACAGUAAACAUGUGAGCCCUCAUCUAUUGAAGAGAUGAAAUUGAGGCCACUAGCUACUAUCUCUUACAGCCCUCUACUUAGGCUUUUUUGCUUCUUUUAGAUGGUGUGCCAAAUGAAUACAUCCAAUAAAUUAAUACUCAGGAACAUGCACUGUGGAUUCAGUCUGAAGAUCUGGAUACUGCAGGUUGUCAAUUAGCUAUGGUCUUUGCAGCAGGCUCCCUUGGAAGAACAUAUGAGUGGUACAGCUCCAUGGCCACAGCAUACGGCCUGGGUUCAAACUCUGACGAUGUCACCCCCUGGCUGUGAUCUUUGCCAGUUAAUCUUGCUUUGCCUUAAUAUCCUCAUGCAUAGAAUGAGGAUAAUACCCAUUACUUGGCAGAGUUCACUGUCAGACUUAAAUGAGAGGAACAUGUGAAGGAGUUAGAACUCAUAAAUGUUGGGUAUCAUCAUCAACAAGCUAGCCAUUUAAAUCCUUUUUAUUCCUCAAAAAGAAGUGAGAUAUCUGCAUUUUACUUCUUAAUUCUUAGCACACUAGUAGAGAGAAGAGGAUAUGGAAAUAGAACGCAAGCAUCAGUUUUGCCAUGAAAUAGGAUCAUUGCUUGAGUUUUUCGCAAAAGGAUAAUUUAAGGGAUAGGUAAGUAUAAAGUUUCAGAAGUCCAGAUAUCAAGGCAGUGUGAACACGAAAGCGUGUGGAUAGAAUUA
rnacentral:lncRNA from 1 species